rnacentral:rRNA from 1 species
AAAACUUUCAACAACGGAUCUCUUGGUUCCGGCAUCGAUGAAGAACGCAGCGAAAUGCGAUAAGUAAUGUGAAUUGCAGAAUUCCGUGAAUCAUCGAAUCUUUGAACGCACAUUGCGCCCCCUGGUAUUCCGGGGGGCAUGCCUGUCCGAGCGUCAUUGCAGACCCCUCA